rnacentral:lncRNA from 7 species
CCAAGCCUGCAUUUAGUAGCGAAAUUGAAGCUUGCUGGUUGGCACCUCCCAUCACCAAAGUCCCCCAAAGUGAACUCACUGCUGCUGGCAACUGGACGCUUGGUGCCGAGAGGACCGUCACCUUGGGGUCCCACCUGGGUCUCCAGAAGCUGUUGCACUUUUGGAAGCAGAGCAUCCAAAUACAUUGCCUAUAUACAUCCAAUACAGUGUCCAUACAACACUGCCAUUGAAUCAGAGCCUGCCACUUUCCCUAUGUCCGUUGGUGUGAGAUUCGUAUGUACUUCUCCCUGUCCCUGGCUGAAGUUCUCAGAGGGGUACACAGAGGUAGGAGAGAGCUAAGGACAAGGCCAAGGGGCACUUAGGGUGACAGGACAUAGCCACAGCUUGGGGACAGUGGCCAGAUGCUGGAGACAUUCAUAUGGCAGGAAGGGACGCACAGGACACAACCACAGCCCAAGGACAUGGGGGGCAACAAAAGGGACCUUGCUCAGACCACUGCGGGAGUCCCGGCUGUGUUCCCCCCCGGCUCCGGCUCUGAGUCGCUCUCCGAGGCCUCGCCCAGCACCAGCGUGGGGGAAAGAGGGACGGCCAUGGUCUGCGAGAGGGGAAUAAAAGGGAGGAGGGGGAGUCGGGGGGAAAACGGCCCCACCAGGCACGGAGACCCCCGGCUCUUUCUCCCGAGUCUCAGAGGAAUACUGCGCACAACAGGCCCGUGCCCCCUCAGCCUCGUGAGACCCCCACUUCCUCACUCCCUUCCCAGCCCCGUGGGGUCCCCAGAACACGUCCAGGCACCCACAGCUCCAGGGGGAUGCCGCAUAUUCCCUUCCCAACCCUACAGGAACCCCCACGCCCCAAUAACCCGCCACCGAGCCCCGCAAGGACCCACAUUCCCUCAGCCCAGUACCGCCGCCUCGCCAGGUCACGUGACGGUCACCCGGUACGCUACGCGUCGCGUCGAGUGACGUCACGCCUGCGUGCGCCCGCUGCCCGGACUUGCCCUCACUCAGACUGCGCACGCGCAGAGCGGGCAGCCGCGUUCGUCCAAUCGUCCCUCCUCCCAAGCUUUAAGUGACAGCCAGGGUAGCCAAUUGGCUCUGCGGGGACGAAGGGGAGGACGGCGCUCUCCCGGAAGAAGGAUCGGGGAGGGAGCUUGCAUGUAACAGGCAGCAGUAGAAGCCAAUGAGAUGGCCGAACAGGGCAGGGCUGGCCAAUAGGAGAGGCGGGGGGCGGGGCGUGCAGGGGGCCGCGCAGGGCCGGAGCCUGUGCCUGCGCCUGCGCCUGCGCCGGGUUUGUCCGGUACGGCUGUGCCGCUCGGUGUGCACCGCUCCUCGGGACAGCGUGUGCCGGGGCCCUCCUCGGGAAAUAUUUCUUCCUUCUAUGGAAACCAACGAGCACCCGGGCCUGCACUCUUGAUAUAAAUACCCGGUGAUGACCGACUUAUUGCGGGCGACCGGGCGACGAAUCCACCGUUGGGACAGCACUGCCGGUGUCAGGCCGUGUAAGGAGUCGCUGUCCUUCUGUUUGUGAGCUCCCUCCAGGCACGUGAAGGCCGCAGUGAGGUCUCCCCAGAGCCUUCUCCAGGCCGCACGAGCCCAACUCCCUCAGCCCUUCCUGUCGGUGAGGCGCUCCGGCCCUCCCAGCACCUUUGCGGGAUUACGGCGGCCCGAGUGCAGCACCUCGCGCGUGGCCGUGUUGCACCUCAUCUGGUUCACGCGGUGCUGCUUUUCAAGCCUGUCCCGGGCCCCCCUGGAGGGCACACACAGCGCUGCCAUCACUCACCGCUGCGCGAGAUGCAGCUUCUGGUCCCUGGAAUGCU